GGAAAAUGGAAGUGGAAGAAGAGGAGGAGCCAAGCCACAAUAUUUAGGUCCGCAGAAAACGACACGCUGAUUUAUUUGAAGUCAAGGAUGGAGAUUAAAACGGCCUUUAAAAACACCACACCCGUUUUGUCCACCGCCAUCACCACCUUCUCCCAGAUCAAGGAAGUGUAUUACGGACUCACACAAAAGGAAGAGGUGAGUACCCGUAUCACAGGUCACACCGUGGGACUGACACCGCUGCAGCAACCCUUCGGAAUAAAGUCAAGUACAAAUUACAGUUUGCUAGGCGUUAGGUGUUAGGCAUAGGGCUAACCAUUCUCUUCCAGGUACAUGUUAAUUAUCUAGUCUUCUUCAGUAAUGCCCUGGUUACUUUUGGCUAAAAUAAGCGUCUUGUGUGUGUGUGUGUGUGUGUGUGUGUGUGUGUGUGUGUGUGUGUGUGUGUGU